rnacentral:rRNA from 1 species
GACGAACGCUGGCGGCGUGCUUAACACAUGCAAGUCGAACGGGCCUUGUCCCCUUUUUUUUUGGGGGUGGGGUUAGUGGCGAACGGGUGAGUAACACGUGAGUAACCUGCCCCUCACUUCUGGAUAACCGCUUGAAAGGGUGGCUAAUACGGGGUGUUCUGGCCUGCUCGCAUGGGUGGGUUUGGAAAGAUUCGACCGGUUUUGGUUGUUUUGGUGGGGGAUGGGCUCGCGGCCUAUCAGCUUGUUGGUGGGGUGAUGGCCUGCCAAGGCUUUGACGGGUAGCCGGCCUGAGAGGGUGGGCGGUCACACUGGGACUGAGACACGGCCCAGACUCCUACGGGAGGCAGCAGUGGGGAAUAUUGCACAAUGGGCGCAAGCCUGAUGCAGCGACGCCGCGUGAGGGAUGGAGGCCUUCGGGUUGUGAACCUCUUUCGCCAGUGAAGAAGGUCCUGCUCUUUGUGGUGGGGUUGACGGUAGCGGGGUUAAUGAAGCGCCGGCUAACUACGUG